rnacentral:rRNA from 1 species
UACGAAGGGGGCUAGCGUUGCUCGGAAUUACUGGGCGUAAAGGGCGCGUAGGCGGGUCUUUAAGUCAGGGGUGAAAUCCUGGAGCUCAACUCCAGAACUGCCUUUGAUACUGAAGAUCUUGAGUUCGGGAGAGGUGAGUGGAACUGCGAGUGUAGAGGUGAAAUUCGUAGAUAUUCGCAAGAACACCAGUGGCGAAGGCGGCUCACUGGCCCGAUACUGACGCUGAGGCACGAAAGCGUGGGGAGCAAACAGG